rnacentral:rRNA from 1 species
UACGUAGGUCCCGAGCGUUGUCCGGAUUUAUUGGGCGUAAAGCGAGCGCAGGUGGUUUAUUAAGUCUGGUGUAAAAGGCAGUGGCUCAACCAUUGUAUGCAUUAGAAACUGGUAGACUUGAGUGCAGGAGAGGAGAGUGGAAUUCCAUGUGUAGCGGUGAAAUGCGUAGAUAUAUGGAGGAACACCGGUGGCGAUAGCGGCUCUCUGGCCUGUAACUGACACUGAGGCUCGAAAGCGUGGGGAGCAAACAGG